UUGAAUUUGCAGUUCCUAUCUCAACCACGUUCCUCCAACCGUUGCAGCCUAAAUUUAUGGCUAUAAACUUUCUUCCACCUCCCUUUGAACGAUCCAUUCCUAUAACACACCUCAUGCUUCUUCUCCCCAUUAUCUUCUUUCUGUUCAAGGAUUAAAUAUAGAACUCAUAUGUGAGUUCAAACCCUAGAAUUCCCCAUGUUGGUUUAGAUGCAACAAAUCCUCUUUUGCUCUAAUAGGAACAUUUUUUUCUCCUACUGCCCCCACCAGAUAUUACCGGAAUUUGGUAACGUGCUUUUAAUUUUGAAAAAGAUGUGAGAAGGAGAUCAUCCUAGGAAGAAAAAGUAGCGCAUUGAAUGGAAUUUUUAUGGUCUCUUGAUGAGAUUUUAAACGAUGACUGGCCACUAUAACCACAAGGUGCCCUUCCACUAACGGCAUCGGUGUUGGCUCUUUUCUCUACAACUACAAGAUUAUCUUGAAGCAUUUUUGGUUUAUGUGUGUUUGUGAUUUUGAGUUUAACCUAGACUUCUAAGAGAUGGGGAAGAAAGCUUAUGAUUUUGCGGGGUUUUAUAGCAUUUCUUAAGUCGAAAACAAGAACAGAUCAUUCUUUCGAUCUGGCGACUUUAUUUCACAUUUUCAUAAAGACAUGUAGCUUAAAAGGUUAAGGCCAUGUAUGGUUAUAAAGAAUCAAAUAUUUUAAACCAAUGUAGACAUGUAUUCAAAUAUCAAAUGCUUUAGACAUUUAUCUUUUUCUUUGGGUUCAUUUAGUAAUGUUAAUUUCCCAUGUUGGUUUUUCCCGACCUACACACGAUUCAUAACUUUAUUUCCAUAUUUAAUUCUUAAAAGCUAUGAAUCAGUUUCAAAGAGAGGCUACAUUCUGUGUUGGAUUAAACCCUGAGAGUUGUCAGACAAGGAUAUUUGGAAUGGGAGAAUUACAUUUGAAAGUUUAUGUGGAGCACUAAGAGGGAAUAUAUGGUACCAUACUUAAUCUUAGCUGAAAAUCAGUUUGUUGAUUAAGGAGCACUGUUAUAUUCAUCUAUCUACAUAUUGGAACUUGGAAGGAGCACUAUUUUUUACACCUAUCUACGUUGCUUCUUUUAAACUUUAUAAAUUUGUCGAAUGUUGGUGAGUGUUUCUUUUAAACUUUAUAUUACGAAUGGAUGUUUGUUGUUUAUUUAUGUUUUUAUGUUGGUGAGUGUUUCUUUUAAACCCUUGAACAUGUUAGUAUAUCGCCGGAGUU